GAGGGUAUAGCUCAGUGGUAGAGUGCAUGCCUAGCAUGCACAAGGUCCUGGGUUCAAUCCCAGUACCUUCA
rnacentral:tRNA from 1 species